UUUCAGUUAUUUUCAUUCCGAGUGUUAAACUGUUAACUAAAAUUCACGUUGUUUAAUAUUAUAGUGUAUAUUUUUUUAAUUAUUGAUAUACCUCAGAUAUGACAUUAUAGUUUCGAUUUUGAAUUGAAGGUUUUUCANACUCUAGAAUGUUUGGUUCUGGAGCAGGUGCAUUUUCCGGUGGGGCCGGAAACACGUCAGGAUUUGGUCAGUCGGCAUUUGGUAAGCCUACAGCACCUGCAGUAUUUGGUCAAACAAAUACAUCACUAUUUAAUCAAACUACACAGCCUAAUACGGGAUUAUUUGGAUCUACUGCUGCUGCGCCUGCAUUUGGUCAGACACCAACCGCUCAACCAACAUUUGGAGGUUUUAAUACUGGUGGAACUUCACUAUUUGGAACUCCUACAGCAACAUCGGCAUCAACUGGAGGUUUAUUUGGCCAGCAAAAUGCUUCAAUGGGUGGAAAUACUGGAGGUGGAUUAUUUGGUUCUAGUAAUCCUAAUACAUCAUUCGGACAAUCAAAACCAGUUGGAACAGGUUUUUCUUUUGGAACACCAGUUGCUCAGCCAACGGGUAAUAUAUUUGGUACACCUCAAUCAAACACUACAGGCACUGGAAUGUUUGGCGCUUCUACUACUGGAACCUUUGGUGCUACAUCAGGAUUUGGAGCAACAUCUGCAGGCGGUACAACCAUAAAAUUCAAUCCUGUGACUGGUACUGAUACAAUGGUCAGAAAUGGUGUAAAUCAAACAAUUAAUACUAGACAUCAAUCAAUAACUGUUAUGAAAGAAUAUGAAUCAAAAAUAUUUGAGGAACUUAGAUUUGAAGAUUAUUCUGCAAACCGUAAAGUUGGACAACAGGGUGCUGUUGGUGGUGGCAUCUUUGGAUCUCCUAAAACUUUAUUUAGUUCUACAGCAACAACAAGUACAGGUUUAUUCGGAGCAAAUGAUAAUAAACCACUUUUUGGCGCAACCUCGACUACACCUGCACUUGGAGGAUUUGGAAAUACUAGUACUUCCAAUGUUUUUGGUGCACAAAAUAGCAUUUUUGGGAAAUCUCAACAAACAACACCAGCAUUUGGUACUCAACCGUCAACUCAACCUUUUGGUAUGAAUACAACUCAACCAAAUAUCUUUGGAUCAAAUACAGCUCAAACAGCUAAACCAUUUGGAGUUGCUGCUCCUCAGACAAAUAUAUUUGGAAGUACUGCACCUUCAACUUUUGGUACUCAAACUACUGGAUUUGGUCAAACUGGAUUCGGACAACCUGCUCAGAACAAUCUAUUUGGUCAGAAUAAACCAGCAUUUGGUCUUGGAUCAACACAAACAACAACAGGUUUUGGUUUUGGAACUAAUACAUCUACUAGUACAAACGGUAUUUUUGGUAGUAAACCUGCUAAUACUGGUUUUCAAAUGACUACUCCAGCUUUUGGUACAAACAAUGCUUUUGGUGCUACUUCUACAUCUCAACCAGCUACUGGUGGCUUAUUUGGUUCUAAUUCUUUUAAUAAGGCACCAACUACUUCAUUAUUUAACCAACCUUCAAAUCAACAAACAGGUGUAUUUAAUAAUGCUGCUAAACCAGGAGGGUUAUUUGGCCAAGGAACACAAGGAACUGGACUUUUUGGAUCAUCUAAUACUAAUAGUUUUGGUACAAGUGGAACAUCGUUUUUUGGGAAUAACCAACAAACUAGUGGAAUUGGGCUUUUUGGAAAUACCAACAAUGUUCAGUUAUCUACAAAUCAGGCAUCACAAAGUAAUCAAAUGCAAUUACAACUAGAUACAUUAAAAGCAAUGCCAUAUGGAGAUUCACCACUGUUCAAAAGAUUUUAUAAGGACGUAUCAAAAGUAGAUGAUUCAUCUCUUGUGCGNUCCCAGAGUGUAUCACUUGAGAAGUUUGGUAGCUAUAAAGUUUCUCCAAUACCAACACCAAAGAGAAUACCUCAAAUUCGUAGAAAUUUCCCUCAAUUCAAUCGUAAAUCCUUAUUUGAUGGACUUGAAGAAUCUCCACCAACAAUGAAAUGUCUAGAUAAAGUUAGUGAUAAUUCACUGCUACUUAAUAUUUCUUCUCCGAGAUCAGGCUGUAAGAAAUUGAAUUUAAAAAAAGACAUUAAUGACUGUAGUAAAAACAAUGGAAAUAGUAUGAUUAUGCAUACAAAACCACUUGCAAAAUUAGAACUAUAUUUUUCUAAUAAACAAAGCUCUCCAGAGGAUAAAUCACAUUCUGUUAAUUUAUCUUUAACUGAAGAAAAUAACACAAUUUCUCAAUUACAAAGCAAUAAACAAAUCAAUUUGAAUACUUCAAAAGAAACAGAAGCCAAUGAAUCUUCUCGAAAUAAUGUUAUUGAUACUGUCAUUGAGAACCAAGAACCUUCAAUUGAUCCCAAUUCUCCUGAAGCAGAGGACCAUCCUACCGGGAUAAAGUUAAGACGUGUUGGAUAUUAUACUAUUCCACCUAUGAAUGAAUUGGCAGAAUUAGUAGAUGAUGAUGGAUCAUGUUUUGUGGAUAAUUUCACAAUAGGACGCUAUGACUUUGGAAAUGUUUUUUUCCCCGAUCGUUUUAAUGUUGCAGGUCUAGACUUAGAUACUAUUGUGCACAUACGACAUAGAGAAAUUAUAAUUUAUCAAGAUGAUGAACUCAAACCCCCUUUAGGGGAAGGGUUAAAUAGAAAGGCUGUUGUUACUUUGGAUAGAGUCUGGCCUAAUGAUAAGACGACAAAGCAACCAAUAACUAACCCUGAUCGUAUUGCAGCUACAAAUUUUGUUGUUAAACUUCAAAGGGCAUGUGCCAAACUAAACACUCAAUUCGUUGAUUAUCGUCCGGACACGGGAUCUUGGGUUUUUAAUGUUGAACAUUUCUCCAAGUAUGCUCUUGUAGAUUCUGAUGAUGACGAUGAUGAAAAUAAUGUGGAACGUAAUAUUGAACCUAAAACUCUUCCUAAACCAACAUUACAAAAACCAAAAACUAUAAAAUCAACUGAAAACGUUAGUCCAAAACAAAAUGUUAUGAAACCAUUGUUAGAUCUUUCUGUUGGUCUUGAUAGAGCUCAAUUACCACAUCAGUAUUUAUUAAAACCAAACUUUCAACUAUCUGUUGUUAAUGAACCAACUAAUGAUUCACACAUGCAUUAUUACGACAUCAAUAAAGAAAAUAGCAUUAAUGUGACUGCUCAGCUAUCACAACAUAUGAAUUUACAGACAUCAAAGAUACAAUGCAUGAAAGCUUCAUUUAAUGAUAUUUUUUAUAAUGAAUUAGAUUUGAUGGAACAAGAUGAUGAUACAUAUGGACAAAAAGAUAAAUUUGAAGAUAAGUUGGAAAAAAUUUUGGAAACUAUUCCUGAAUGUUUAAUCAGCCCUAAAAUUCAAGAUAGUAUUUCCAAGUCAAAAUCAAUAAUUGCACCAGUAGAUAAUCAAGCGUCUCCAAAGUUUUUCAUCCCAAAACAAAAAACUAAAGUUAUUCAAGCUGCAGAACUAUUGAAACCUAUUUCAACUGCUCCACUUCAAGCUCAACGGUUCAAUUUGCUAUACAAUUCUAGUGUUCGGUUACCAUUUGAAGUAGAACUUAAUAAUACAUGCGAAUCUAGUAAAUUAGCAUUGUUGAAUAAUUUAUCAAUGAAAGUUCCUUGGUCUGGCAAUUUAACAUUUAUUACACUCAAUACAAAAUCUAAAGGAAGUUGUUUACCAAAAAAGGGAUUGGACAUUAGUUAUUUAUCAACAGAGUUGUCUGGGCGUGGAAAUAAUGAUUAUACUUCUACUAUUGUACAGAAGUUACAAAUUAUUACCCCUAACCAAACAGAGACAUUCACUGAAUUAUUGACUGAACAUUUGGAAAUUUGUAUGAUGAAUAGUAAUUGUGAUGCUAAAAAUGGUAACAUUCCAUAUUUUUAUCCAAAAUUUGGAGUUGAUGCAUUACAUUCUCAUUGUUACNUGCUGUCCCACUUUUCUGAACUUCCCGAAGAAGAACAUUAUGCUCAUGUAUGGGAGCUGAUGAAAGCAUUAUGGGGCGAUCCAGAAAAUCUUUAUACUAAAGACUGUCCUCAAGAACAUGUAUACAACAUGGCUAGACNUCAGGCGGUGUCUGAUUGGUUAGAAAAUAUAUUAGAAAAGACAGUGAAUUCUAAAAAUGUUGAAGAGAAUGUCUCUCGAAAAAUAUUAAACCUAGUGUCAGUUCAUAAAAUUAUGGAAGCUUCUGAUUUAGCAAUUUCCAAUAACGAAUUUAUUUUAGCAAUACUAUUAUCACAGUUAGGAAGUGAAAAUUCUGUCAGAUGUUGUAUUCAACGACAACUUUGGCAAUGGUUCAACAGCAAAGCUGAUCUGUUUAUAGAUAUUGAUCACCUAAAAUUGUACACUAUGAUUUCGGGUCAACCUUUAUUUGAUUCCAAUCAAGGUAUAAUAAACGUCUGUGAAAAUUUAAAUUGGAUCAGAGCUUUUGCUAUACACAUGUGGUACAUACUACCUUCAACCAGUACCAUUGGAGAUGUAUUAGAUGCUUAUCAAAAUUCAUUUGAAAGUGACGACUCAUAUGCUUUCAAACCAUAUAAGACAUAUGAUGGCAUUAUUGAUAUUGAUGAUAAAUUUGCUACUUAUGAUGUCUGUUACCAUUUAUUGAAACUUUACACCGAUUCAGCAUACCAAAUGGACAAAAUUAUAAAUCCUUUUACUCAUACACGAGAUCCAUUGGAUUAUAAUUUUAGUUGGCUUUUGUUCAACACGUUACAAUCCCUUGGCUACACUCAAAUGUCUGAAAUAUAUGCCAAUCAAUUACAUAUAAAUUUUGCUUCACAGUUGGUAUCACAUGGACAGUGGCAAUGGGCAGUAUUUGUUCUUAUGCAUAUAAAAGAAGAACAAUUGAGAGAAAGUUUAGUUGAAGAAUUUAUUGGAAGAAAUGUUGAACUACCUGUUGGCGAUAUCAAUGAAAUAAAGCUUUCUGAGAAAGAAGCUUUUGUAGUAGAAAAGUUAAAAGUUAAAGAAGUGAUACUAUUUAAUGCAAAGGCUAUUUUAGCUAUGACACAAAAAAAAGAUAUUUGGAGGCCACAUUUUGUUACUUAAAAGCCGAACAGUGGCAAGAAGCACAUAACAUACUUGCAAAUCACUUAUUUGCCAAUUAUUUACUUCAAAAAAAUGGCCAAAAAACAUUAAAACAUUUGCUAGGUUGGUUAAUAGAUGGUUCCAAGAUAAAUGGGUCAAUACCUACAACCUUGCAAGAUAGUU
rnacentral:misc_RNA from 1 species